GAUGAACGCUGGCGGCGUGCCUAAUACAUGCAAGUCGAGCGAACAGAUCAGGAGCUUGCUCCUUUGACGUUACCGGCGGACGGGUGAGUAACACGUGGGUAACCUACCUAUAAGACUGGGAUAACUUCGGGAAACCGGAGCUAAUACCGGAUAAUAUUUCGAACCGCAUGGUUCGAUAGUGAAAGAUGGUUUUGCUAUCACUUAUAGAUGGACCCGCGCCGUAUUAGCUAGUGGGUAAGGUAACGGCUUACCAAGGCGACGAUACGUAGCCGACCUGAGAGGGUGAUCGGCCACACUGGAACUGAGACACGGUCCAGACUCCUACGGGAGGCAGCAGUAGGGAAUCUUCCGCGAUGGGCGAAAGCCUGACGGAGCAACGCCGCGUGAGUGAUGAAGGUCUUCGGAUCGUAAAACUCUGUUAUUAGGGAAGAACAUACGUGUAAGUAACUGUGCACGUCUUGACGGUACCUAAUCAGAAAGCCACGGCUAACUACGUG
rnacentral:rRNA from 1 species